UACGUAGGGUGCGAGCGUUAAUCGGAAUUACUGGGCGUAAAGCGUGCGCAGGCGGUUUUGUGAGCCAGAUGUGAAAUCCCCGGGCUCAACCUGGGAAUGGCAUUUGGGACUGCAAGGCUGGAGUACGGCAGAGGAGACUGGAAUUCCUGGUGUAGCAGUGAAAUGCGUAGAUAUCAGGAGGAAUACCGAUGGCGAAGGCAGGUCUCUGGGCUGAUACUGACGCUCAUGCACGAAAGCGUGGGGAGCAAACAGG
rnacentral:rRNA from 1 species